rnacentral:rRNA from 1 species
AUUGAACGCUGGCGGCAUGCCUUACACAUGCAAGUCGAACGGUAACGGGCCUUCGGGUGCCGACGAGUGGCGAACGGGUGAGUAAUACAUCGGAACGUGCCCGAUCGUGGGGGAUAACGAGGCGAAAGCUUUGCUAAUACCGCAUACGAUCUACGGAUGAAAGCAGGGGACCGCAAGGCCUUGCGCGGACGGAGCGGCCGAUGGCAGAUUCGGUAGUUGGUGGGAUAAAAGCUUACCAAGCCGACGAUCUGUAGCUGGUCUGAGAGGAUGAUCAGCCACACUGGGACUGAGACACGGCCCAGACUCCUACGGGAGGCAGCAGUGGGGAAUUUUGGACAAUGGGCGCAAGCCUGAUCCAGCCAUGCCGCGUGCAGGAUGAAGGCCUUCGGGUUGUAAACUGCUUUUGUACGGAACGAAAAGCCUUCUUUUAAUACAGGAGGGUCAUGACGGUACCGGAAGAAUAAGCACCGGCUAACUACGUG